rnacentral:rRNA from 1 species
UGGCGAACGGGUGAGUAACACGUGGGUGAUCUGCCCUGCACUUCGGGAUAAGCUUGGGAAACUGGGUCUAAUACCGGAUAGGAGCCAUCUUUAGUGUGGUGGUUGGAAAGUUUUUUCGGUGUAGGAUGAGCUCGCGGCCUAUCAGCUUGUUGGUGGGGUAAUGGCCUACCAAGGCGGCGACGGGUAGCCGGCCUGAGAUGGUGUACGGCCACAUUGGGACUGAGAUACGGCCCAG